rnacentral:rRNA from 1 species
CCCUUAGAUGUUCUGGGCCGCACGCGCGCUACACUGAUGCAUUCAACGAGCCUAUCCUUGACCGACAGGUCCGGGUAAUCUUUGAAUCUGCAUCGUGACGGGGAUAGAUUAUUGCAAUUAUUAAUCUUCAACGAGGAAUGCCCAGUAGGCGCAAGUCAUAAGCUUGCGUCGAUUACGUCCCUGCCCUUUGUACACACCGCCCGUCGCUACUACCGAUUGAACGUUUUAGUGAGCUCCUCGGAUUGUCAGCCUGGCGGUUAAUCCUGCCUGGCUAGCGAAAAGACGAGCAAACUUGAGCGUUUAGAGGAAGUAAAAGUCGUAACA